rfam:Heterocephalus glaber contig14172, whole genome shotgun sequence.
GGAUGUGAGGGUGAUCUAGCUGCAACAUCUGUCACCCCAUUGAUUGCCAGGGUUGAUUCAGCUGAUCUGGCUGGCUAGGCAGGUGUCCCCUUCCUCCCUCACUGCUCCAUGUGCGUCCCUCCCGAAGCUGUGUGCUCGGUCGAAGAGGACGACCACUCCAGAUAGAGGAGGACCAUUUCCUUGGUCAAGGGUAUACGAGUAGCUGUGGUCCCCUGCUAGAACCUCCAAACAAGCUCUCAAGAAAUGGAAUCCAUGAAACAGAUUUAAACAGAUAUUCAGGAGAUUAAAAACUCCCU